UACGUAGGGUCCGAGCGUUGUCCGGAAUUACUGGGCGUAAAGAGCUCGUAGGUGGUUUGUCGCGUUGUUCGUGAAAACUCACAGCUCAACUGUGAGCUUGCGGGCGAUACGGGCAGACUAGAGUACUGCAGGGGAGACUGGAAUUCCUGGUGUAGCGGUGGAAUGCGCAGAUAUCAGGAGGAACACCGGUGGCGAAGGCGGGUCUCUGGGCCACUACUGACGCUGAGAAGCGAAAGCAUGGGGGAGCGAACAGG
rnacentral:rRNA from 1 species